GAUUGGUGCAAAUUUGUUGAAAGUAGACUAACUCCUGAAUUUCUGGAAUUGAGUAAGGUGCAACGUGAACGUUCCUCAAAAAUUCAAUCCAGACAUCGAAGUGGUCGGAGUGGGAUGGUGAACGUACGGGAAGCUGUGAAAAAGGACCUCGAAGUUGCAGAUCCUCCCCGCCACCGUGUUUGGAUUAAAUCUCGCACCAAGAGUAGAAAACUUGUCACUGAUUACGACAAGGAAAUUGCCGAGAAGAUAGUAAGUAUAUAUUAAUUCAUAUACUAAUUGCUUGAAUAUAUAAUUCAAUUAGAGUUAGUGUAUAUAAUUCAUAUACUAAUUGCUUGAAUAUAUGCGUGCAU